CCUACCUCCGAGACCGCCCCGCCUCCGGGACCGCCCCGCCCCGCCUCGCCUCCGACACGUCCCCCGGGCGCCACUGCAGAGCCUGUCCGUCAGUCCCUAGGUAUCCGCACUGCUCAGGGGUGAGUUUUCCAAUCCCAGCGGGUCCUGGGGUGGGGGCGGUAGCUGAGCACCUAGGGCACUGGGGGUCGCCGCAAAGUGCUGGAGGCCCCAGACCAUACCCGGCGUCAGGGGGUGUCCCUCCCUUCUUAGGUCUAGGUCUUUGGUUUCAUUUCGUUUUGUUAGUCUGGUGCUAUUUGCAGUUUGUCUCAAAACACGUUUCUCCCUCCUAUUUGAACUUGUAAAUUACGAAUUUGACAAAGAUGUGCAUGGUGUGUGCGUGCACGAGGGCACAUUUCGUUGCGGAAUGCUGGGUCAGCUUUCCGGGACAUAUUACUCAUCUGAGGUUUUUUGUCUGUUUUUGUUUAUCCUGUCAAACUGGUACUGCCCCAGAAGUGAAAGACGUCGCUUGUCUUCUGGGAGGUAGCUAGCACGAUCUUGAGCUCAGGCUUCCGGAUCUCUCUCGGCUGCUUUUUUCCACUGGUAACUUCUGAGGCUGAGAUCAGGAGGAUUCCCUGGGAGCACCCACCAGCUGAGAUCUGCACAUCAGCCACAAUCCUCUCAGGACGGCGGAAAGGGAAGGGCUCAGCCGCCAGCCUGGCCACAGCCUGCAUCAUCUCAUCCCAGAGGCGGAGCACAGGCUCGGGGUCCUUCAGGGCCUGAAGGUUUGUGGUUGGCACUGUCAGGAUGAUGUUGUCCGUGGCCAGCUCUCCCCAGGGAGCCAGGUUCUCCUGCAUCUGCCUCUUCCACUCCUCCAGCGAUGUCUUACCUGGGAAUAAAUAUCAUGGAACCUACCACACCCACUUCUCCAACUUCCCUUGAGCUGAAAAAUACCAUUUGAACUCUGGAAGAACAUUGCAAUAAUGAACUACUAUCACAGGCGUCUAUAGGCUGUAAAGUGAAGAAAAGGCUUCCUGACUCUUCUCUUUGUCUGCCCUGAAGUCUCCAUGGACACAGGGUAUUCCGUAUCUUCUGCCUCCAUGUUCCCUCCCAACAGUUCUUCCUCUUUCUCUCCACCAAAGCUCAUCCCUCUCCCAUUUAGCAACCACCCCACAGUUCCCACGGCAUCUGCCACUCUUCCUCCUCCCUAAAUGUUCACUCCACUUACCCAGCUUGUAGUAUGGGGCAGGCACAGCUCCCCUGAUAGUGACAGGCACAGGGCCUAGUUGGCUGCCCUUGGGCACGAUGACGUAGAGGAGGCCGCCCCAGAGGCAGGAGACUGACCGCUCAGUCCUGUCCAUCCAGCAUUGGUGAGUCACCACGGGGGCUCGAGAUAGCUUCCUGGCCUUGGUAAGGUCAUCGGUGUGGCAGCCAAUCUGUACCUGGACAGGUGAUUCCACCAAGCGUUGGAGAAAUUAGAGUCUUUGUGAUGCUUUGUGAUGUGCGUGUGAGGUUGUGUAGAUGGAAGGUAUUAGACAAACAUGCCCAUGAAACCCCAGCUUCCCUUUUCUAUGUGCUAGGCAUGGAAACUUAUGAAAUUUUAGCACUCCAAAGUCAUUUGGACUUCAAGGCAUUUAAAAUCAUUUUUCUAAGGAUUUAAACAGCUCCACUAUAAGUCUUCACCUGACAUGAAUUGGUGAGAGACCAGGCUGAUCCUGGCAAAGGUCUUGUGUCUUUCUGCCAGGCAAAAUCCUGGGUUCUUCUAGCAGGACCUAAGCCAGUCUGGGGACGCUGAUAUUGAGGAUGAGCUGGGGGACUCUGCUCUGUCCUCUGUGAACACACAGGAGGCCCAUCCAGAGUGAGUGAGGUUGAUUCUCUCUCCCUCUUUGCCCAGAGCUUCCCUUUCUGGCCGCCAGAUGGGUGGAGAUCUGUUUUGUCUGGAGUCCUGGAGUUGCUUUUCUUAGGUUUGAUAUAAGCAAGCUCCAGAAAGAAUGCUGACAGAAAAGGGACCCUAGCUGUGGUAGGAAGUGGCCCUCAGAGUCAAGGAGGCAGGAUGAAUUUAAAUUCUGCAUGUAGGGCAUAUUUUGGGGAGUGAUGGGAUUAUGCACACCCUUCAGGUGUCAAGAUAAAGAGAUAAAACCAGAGUUUGUGCAGAAUGAGCUUGCUGACACACAGCCUAAAUUUGUACCGCAUGUUUCAUACUAACUCCCUCUGAGUUUGCACAUGGGACCCAUGAGGAGGCAUGAAGAGGUAACUGCCCAUGCCCGAGGAUUUUCCAGCCCUUCCUUUUCUUUCUAUCAAUCACCUACUAAUCACAGAAUCCACUCCCUACACCUUUUCUACUAAAAUAACUCUUUAAAAUAAGUACAAUGGGACAGAUUUGAGCUGGGCUCCUGUCUCCUUGUUAAUCAAAUUGCAAUAAAAUGUUUUCUUUUGUUUUUGUUUUUGUUUUUUUUUUGGUGAAAAACUCAAGUGUCAUAGUUUUGGCUUCUAGUCCAUUCUGCAGUGAGCUUCUCUUGCUUGAUAACACUAGGCACUUCAGUCACUCACUUAGAUGCCCUGAAAUUUAGCUGCUUCAUCUGUAAAAUCUGUAAAAUGGGCAGAAUAAUCCAUCUCUGUACUCCUGGCAGCAUUGCCAUGAGCUGGAACUAGACAGUGGAUGAGAAUGACACAGCUCUACGGUUUUGAGAGGUGGCAGAUGUGGGUGUUCAGACCUUACCCUCAGGCCAGCAGAGGCAGCAGCUUCAGACAGUGAGACUUCUGCAUUUUGUCCUUCCAGGAGGUAGAGCCCGGUACUCACCCAGCAAUCAUUGUUGCCUGACAAAAGUCACAGAGAAGGCUCAGUUCUUCCUUCCUAUGUGAGUAUAUCUCCACUUGGGGCCUCCCAGCCCCUCCCAGUGGUACAGCUUCUCCCCUGUGUAUCUCAAGUCAUCCAUACUUCUUAGACUCAUCCCCUCUAAACCUUAAGCAGUGUCCCAAUCCCCAUCUUCUUGAAAGUACCUGAUGAAGAAUGGAGUCAGCUGGGCCCAGUGGCUCACGACUGUAAUCCCAGCACUUUGGGAGGCCAAGGCAGGUGGAUCACCUGAGGUCAGGAGUUCCGGACCAGCCUUACCUUUACGGUGAAACUCCCUCUCUACUAAAAAUACAAAAAUUAGCCAGGCAUGGUGGCGUGUGCCUGUAGUCCCAGCAACACAGGAGGCUGAGAGAGGAGAAUUGCUUAAACCCAGGAGGUGGAGGUUGCAUGAGCUGAGAUCGCGCUACUGCAUUCCAACCUGGAUGACAGAGUGAGACUCUGUCUCAAAAAAAAAAAAGAAUGGGGUCAAUCUUCCUGAGGGUAGGUACCUGCAAUGUCCUGUGUAGUGUCAGCCAAUCCCACUUUCCCCUACAUCUUUAAUGUUCUGGGCACUCUCUCCUGUUU
rnacentral:lncRNA from 1 species